rnacentral:tRNA from 1 species
UCGAAAUCGGUAGACGCUACGGACUUAAAAUCCGUCGACUUUAUAAGUCGUGAGGGUUCAAGUCCCUCUAUCC